GAUCAUGGCUCAGGAUGAACGCUGACAGAAUGCUUAACACAUGCAAGUCAACUUGAACUUCGGUUUGGGUGGCGGACGGGUGAGUAACGCGUAAAGAACUUGCCUCACAGCUAGGGACAACAUUUGGAAACGAAUGCUAAUACCUGAUAUUAUGAUUUUAGGGCAUCCUAGAAUUAUGAAAGCUACAUGCACUGUGAGAGAGCUUUGCGUCCCAUUAGCUAGUUGGAGAGG
rnacentral:rRNA from 1 species